rfam:Elusimicrobium minutum Pei191, complete genome.
CGGGGCAUGGCUCAAUUGGCUAGAGCGCUCGGUUUGGGACCGAGAGGUUCCCGGUUCAAGUCCGGGUGCCCCGA